GGAGAAUCGGAAUUUCCAGCUUGAUUCCCUUCACGUCCAUGCAAUCAUAAAGCCCAUUUGUGCGGUAUCUUGCCAUGAAUAACUAUGAUAGCUUCAUGUGGACGGUUGACACUCCACCCAGUAUGUUACAAGGCUAAAGGAUCUUGUUUGGUUGGGGAGAAAGUGUAGGGAAAUGGAAGGAACCAAAAUCUUUGAACACUGCAUGGUCUCAAAUUUUGGGGUUCUUCAAGAAUAAGAUAACUUGUCUGGUUCUGUUUUUUCUUGGUUUUGUAUGGAACCAAAUAGAGGAGUGAGAAAAUUGCUGUUCUCAGUAA